UACGUAGGGUGCGAGCGUUAAUCGGAAUUACUGGGCGUAAAGCGUGCGCAGGCGGUUUCGUAAGACAGGCGUGAAAUCCCCGGGCUCAACCUGGGAACUGCGCUUGUGACUGCGAGGCUAGAGUGUGUCAGAGGGAGGUGGAAUUCCACGUGUAGCAGUGAAAUGCGUAGAGAUGUGGAGGAACACCGAUGGCGAAGGCAGCCUCCUGGGAUAACACUGACGCUCAUGCACGAAAGCGUGGGGAGCAAACAGG
rnacentral:rRNA from 2 species